GGAACAGCGUGUGGCGACAGCUCCAUCACUAUUGCCGUCACUAAUACUUAUUAGAGGAUGGGAAGAAGAGGAGGGAAUGAUGAGGGAGGUGUUAGAAUUUGGCAUCUCAAAUUCGAUCCAUAAGAGAAAAAUCCAAGAUGAAGAAUCCCAACUUGCAGUGCAUGACAACACGGAGGCCUGGAGAGGUAGCACAUGAAGGCCCAUAGCACGAUGCAGCUCAUAGGAGUGUGCAGACCCGGGGAGGAUGUGUGGCCUAGGUCUGCAGCCACAACUCAGCGGGGCUUGCAGCGCACAGCCCAGGCAUGGGUGCGAGCAGACCAAUUUGAAUUUUCCAUGCAGUCCACAG
rnacentral:lncRNA from 1 species